CGCGAGCUACCGUGCGCUGGAUUAUGACUGAACGCCUCUAAGUCAGAAUCCGGGCCAGAAGCGACGCGUUGUCCGCCGCUCGUUUGCCGACCAGCAGUAGGGGCCCUCCGGCCCCCAAAGGCACGUGUCGUUGGCUAAGCCCUCGCGGCGGACGAGCCGCGCGGGCCGCCUUGAAUUACAAUUUCCACCGGGCGGCGGACUGAAUCCUUUGCAGACGACUUAAAUACGCGACGGGGUAUUGUAAGUGGCAGAGUGGCCUUGCUGCCACGAUCCACUGAGAUUCAGCCCUUCGUCGCUCCGAUUCGU
rnacentral:ncRNA from 1 species